UACAGAGGUCCCAAGCGUUGUUCGGAUUCACUGGGCGUAAAGGGUGCGUAGGUGGCCAGGUAAGUUUGGUGUGAAAGCCCCGAGCUUAACUUGGGAAUUGCGCUUGUGACUGGCGUGCUGGAGUGUGGCAGAGGGAGGUGGAAUUCCACGUGUAGCAGUGAAAUGCGUAGAGAUGUGGAGGAACACCGAUGGCGAAGGCAGCCUCCUGGGCCAGCACUGACGCUCAUGCACGAAAGCGUGGGGAGCAAACAGG
rnacentral:rRNA from 1 species